rnacentral:tRNA from 2 species
GGCAGAUUGCCCGAGCGGCCAAUGGGAGCGGACUGUAAAUCCGUCGCGAAAGCUACCCAGGUUCGAAUCCUGGAUCUGCCA